rnacentral:rRNA from 1 species
UACGAAGGGGGCUAGCGUUGUUCGGAAUUACUGGGCGUAAAGCGUGCGCAGGCGGCUUCUCAAGUCAGGGGUGAAAGCCCUGAGCUCAACUCUGGAAUUGCCUUUGAGACUGAGUGGCUUGAGUACGGGAGAGGUGAGUGGAAUUCCCAGUGUAGAGGUGAAAUUCGUAGAUAUUGGGAAGAACACCGGUGGCGAAGGCGGCUCACUGGCCCGUAACUGACGCUCAUGCACGACAGCGUGGGGAUCAAACAGG